GCCGGGCGCAGUGGCUUACGCCUGUAAUCCCAGCACUUUGGGAGGCUGAGGCAGGUGGAUCACCUGAGGUCAGGAGUUCAAGACCAGCCUGGCCAACAUGGUGAAACCCUGUCUCUA
rnacentral:SRP_RNA from 1 species